CAGAAAUGAACAGGGUGGUGAAAAGGAGUGGGGGCAGGGAGGCUGAGGCUGUGCACCCAGAGCAGGCGAGGCCCCUUCGCAGCGGGUGGGGAGCGGGCGGGGGCAAGGCGGGGAGGCAAGCAGAACGGAGAGCUGGCUCAAGCGGAGGCAAAGCUGUCUCUUUCCGGGCAUCCAGGAGCCUGGCCAAAUCCAGGCUCCACUAAGAACCAGUGUGACUCUGUGAGGCUGGGCGCUCUCUGGGCCGGAGGCUCCCUUCCCAUCCACGCGGGGAGGCUCGCGCCCCCCCCAUUACUGUGCAGAUAGAAAAGGGAGUGGCAGCUGACAGACUGCGGUGUCACUAAUGAUAAUGAUUAACAGUGCGGUAAAAUCACACUAAUCCAAGUUUUUGUGAGCAGGUAGAAGGGAAAUGACCACCAAGUCAGUCACUUCAUGAAGCAGAGCUUUCUGAAAAAUGUCAAGUCAGUUCUGCGAAUUUACACAUGGGUGAGGGCUCAGAAACAUGUCCCCCACCAGCAGCUACUGCUACUUCAACUACUUCUACCAACAUCACUACGCUACUGUCACGAUCACAGCUACUACGGCCGGUUCGCAUUUAUUGAGCACUAAGGGCCAGGCACGGCGCUAGGAGUUUGGCAAGCGUUGCUUCUGACCCUCAUGCCACCUGAACCGGAGGCAAGGAUUCUGGUGUGAAUUUUACAGGUGAGGAAAUAGAGCCUUGGAGUGGCAGAAUUUGAACCUCCCUCAAUCACCCAUGUGGACUGACACCCCUUUGACCAUCCCUUGCCAUGGAUCUUAUCUGCACCCUGCCUUCCUCUUUCCUAGGCUGCUGUAACUGUGGCCUUAAUACUGGAUCCCUCUCCUUUACCAAAGUCCCCAAUCAGUAUCACUUCUCUUAGCUGUGGCCUUCAAAGUCCUCACUUUGGAUAAGGACAGUCUGCAUAUCCGUGACUUAACCAGUCUUCCCUCUGCCUACCCCCAUUCACAGGAAACGGCCUUCACUCUGCAAAGCCCAGUAAUGUCAAAACUAUUCCACGAUGCUAUCUGCCACCCAGCAGAAAUGAGUCCUGCUGACUGCAACCCAUCACAUCUACCACGGACCUUGUACCCAGGUGAAGCCACUUCCUCAUUUUUAUCUUUGCUCAGGAGGAACGUGGGUUUGGCUCAGCGGCCAAAGUGGUGAUUAUGACUCAGCUGCCUCCUCUUGUAAUUCUCUUUUCCUUCUUUCUACUUGCAUGGAGCAAGAAUGGGAAGCAAAAGGAUACCUAGAGUCCCCGGCCCUCUCUCCACAACUGGUUAUCACCUUUUCUCUAUGCCUUUCCCUCAUACCAAGGCAGGAUGGCUCACUGUGCCCCCGCCCCCGCCUCUGACCAUUCCAUGUGAGGAUCGUCAUGGCUCUGAGCCCAUGGGUGUCAGCAGCUUUGGCCCCUCUGCACUCCCCUAAGCCUAGCACAGUACCUGGUGCUCAAUAAAUGCUCACCCUGA